rnacentral:pre_miRNA from 1 species
CAUGCACUGGUGGGGUCCCUCGGCCUGGCCUGCACCCUCUUGCAAUCCAGGACCCCUUGGAGGAUGUUGGAGAGCCGGUUUUGGCCUGAUCCUGCAAGCCAGGCCGAGGGACCCCACUGGUGCACA